rnacentral:tRNA from 1 species
UCUCUGGUGGUCCAGUGGCUAAGACUCAAUACUACCAAUUUAGGUGGCCCAGGUUUGAUCCCUGGUCAGGGAA